rnacentral:lncRNA from 1 species
GGAGGAGGAGGAGAAAAAAUGCAGGGGUUAGAGGGGAGGGUCAGGUUGCCUUUAGCUGAGUUCAUUCUCCUUAUUUUUCCUCCUUUGAAUCGUCUUGUUUCAGUUCCCCCUCUUCUCUUUGCUCUCUUCCCUCCCACCAUCCUCUCACUCUAUUGGAGCAUGAGCCACAGCAUGACACUGUUUUACUAAGCACAAAGGUCAAGGAACAAGGUUUCGAUUGUACAAGUAUCCAUCCACCAUAUCUCGCAAGAAAAAGACGCUUUUCGAAAACAUGUAAAAAAUGUGUCUGAGAUUGUAUAUGUGUAUAUUUUUCUCACCUCCGACACAGAAAAAAAAAUCAACAUGCAAAAUAAUCUACUACACUUGAUGGUAUAUUUCAAAAAGCUAUGCUUUUUUCAAAAGCAAAUGUGGGAGAGAGGGUUUUAAACUAAUUGCUAUUGUGCUACCAAAUAAGCAAACACUAAAAUCUUACAUAGGGGGAUCCGGAUGCCAGAAUCCCUAAAAAAUCUUAUAGUUUAAUAUAAUAAAAAAGCAAUACUUUGCAAUUAUUUUUUAUGUGCAGAGCCACAAAUGAAAUGCCCAUCAUUUGCCUCACGUCUUCCUACUUGUCUGUCUUCAUUUUGUCAGUGUGUCUUUUUUUAUCUGUCAGUCUGUAAACAUUAAUCAUUGAUAGCACCUACAUUACUCUGUUUUCUCACCACUACCCUGGCCCUUUGCAAAUUCUGACCGGACGCACGGCAGCCAUCUUCCAAAAACGACGGUAUGCUCCACUCAAUGCCAUUUAGCCACUCCUCUCCUUUCGCCCUCUCUCUCCUCCCUGUUACUGCCAGGUGUCUCGUGGCCAUAUUUGUCAGAGUUACAAGCAGCAGACCGCUGGACUAGCUCACUGUGAUGUCCCUGCCCUCCUGGGUCACCUCCAUGUCUGGCUGCGACAUCAAACGUGCCCAUCUGGUCUCCCUGUCAGACCUCUUCUCCUCACCUUGUAAGCCCUAAGCGUGACAGUGGAGGUGGAAAGGAAAAGGGGGAGAAUGAGGAGGGAUUGAAAGAGAGUUUUAAUCUAUCUCUCUCCCACUAAUUUUCCUCUCAUAUAAUUUCCCCCUAUCCUCUUCACCUCUUUUUCACUAAUUUCAAUCACAGAUCAACUGCCUCUUUGCCAACA